AUUGAACGCUGGCGGCAGGCCUAACACAUGCAAGUCGAGCGGAUGAAGGGAGCUUGCUCCUGGAUUCAGCGGCGGACGGGUGAGUAAUGCCUAGGAAUCUGCCUGGUAGUGGGGGAUAACGUCCGGAAACGGGCGCUAAUACCGCAUACGUCCUGCGGGAGAAAGUGGGGGAUCUUCGGACCUUACGCUAUCAGAUGAGCCUAGGUCGGAUUAGCUAGUUGGUGGGGUAAAGGCCUACCAAGGCGACGAUCCGUAACUGGUCUGAGAGGAUGAUCAGUCACACUGGAACUGAGACGCGGUCCAUACUCCUACGGGAGGCAGCAGUGGGGAAUAUUGGACAGUGGGCGAGAGCCUGGGCCAGCCAUGCCGCGUGUGUGAAGAAGGUCUUCGGAUUGUGAAGCACUUUAAGGUGGGAGGAAGGGCAGUAAGUUAAUACCUUGCUGUUUUGACGUUACCAACAGAAUAAGCACCGGCUAACUUCGUG
rnacentral:rRNA from 1 species